rnacentral:RNase_P_RNA from 1 species
GGCAGAGGGAAGGUCAUCAGUGAGGCUUCAAGUUCAGUGCCUUGCAUCACUCUACCCCAUGUCACCUGGGAAGGUCUGAGACUAGAGCCAAAAGUGGCCCUAACAGGGUCCUCCCUGGGUUUCAGAGAAUGGGGCUCCCACACUCAUGACUAUAUCCUCAAAAAAGAGAAAAAAAAAAUGAGGUGAGAACCUUGAAAUCCUUCAGGAUGCUCUUCUAAUGCU